CUCUUAUUUUAUAAUAAAGAAAAAACCUAUCUGCCCAUCGGCCCGUCUUCCUCCUCUGCCUCCUACACUAUUCCUCUUCUGCCGCUCUCCAUGCCCUAGGCCUAGAGGCUCCAUCCAUGAGAUGUGGUCUCAGUAUUCAGGUACACGACGACGGCGGCCGGUGGCGCUCCCAUUCAUGGCCGGCGAGGAGAAGCUGCAGCUUCCGUCGCGCCCCGAGGUAACAUGGAGUCUGCUCAUUUGUAACGGCAUAGAGAUAGGAACGAGCAAUUCAGCUUAACUUUGAGAAAGUGGCGGACAAAAGAGAACUGGACUAUUGUUGCUGAGCGCUAGCUCUGGCCGCAUGAUCAUCUAUGUAUAUAGUUUUCAACAAUAAAUGUAUCCUGAUUGGUAUAGCACAAUUGGAAAUCCUACUUUCUUCUGAUCUCUUAAUUUCAAGAUGAACUGGAGAGGGGAAUUUGUACUAAGUUUGGAAUCUGUCACAGUAAGUGUGUAUUUGCGGUAUUGAUGUACAGUUAUUAAGAAAGAUACAUUUUCCA